rnacentral:rRNA from 1 species
UGGGGAAUAUUGCACAAUGGGCGCAAGCCUGAUGCAGCCAUGCCGCGUGUGUGAAGAAGGCCUUCGGGUUGUAAAGCACUUUCAGCGAGGAGGAAGGUGGUGGACUUAAUACGUUCAUCAAUUGACGUUACUCGCAGAAGAAGCACCGGCUAACUCCGUGCCAGCAGCCGCGGUAAUACGGAGGGUGCAAGCGUUAAUCGGAAUUACUGGGCGUAAAGCGCACGCAGGCGGUUUGUUAAGUCAGAUGUGAAAUCCCCGGGCUCAACCUGGGAACUGCAUUUGAAACUGGCAAGCUAGAGUCUCGUAGAGGGGGGUAGAAUUCCAGGUGUAGCGGUGAAAUGCGUAGAGAUCUGGAGGAAUACCGGUGGCGAAGGCGGCCCCCUGGACGAAGACUGACGCUCAGGUGCGAAAGCGUGGGGCAGCAAACAGGAUUAGAUACCCUGGUAGUCCACGCUGUAAACGAUGUCGAUUUGGAGGUUGUGCCCUUGAGGCGUGGNUUCCGGAGCUAACGCGUUAAAUCGACCGCCUGGGGAGUACGG